UACGGAGGGUGCAAGCGUUAAUCGGAAUUACUGGGCGUAAAGCGCGCGUAGGCGGCUAGAUAAGUUGGAUGUGAAAGCCCUGGGCUCAAUUUGGGAACUGCAUUCGAUACUGUUUGGCUAGAGUAUGAGAGAGGGAGGUAGAAUUCCACGUGUAGCGGUGAAAUGCGUAGAUAUGUGGAGGAAUACCGGUGGCGAAGGCGGCCUCCUGGCUUAAUACUGACGCUGAGGUGCGAAAGCGUGGGGAGCAAACAGG
rnacentral:rRNA from 1 species